rnacentral:rRNA from 1 species
UACAGAGGGUGCGAGCGUUGUUCGGAAUUACUGGGCGUAAAGCGCGCGCAGGCGGCCCUUUAAGUCCGUCGGUCAAAUGCCGGGGCUCAACCCCGAGCGUGCCGAGGAUACUGGAGGGCUGGAGACACGUAGAGGCAAGCGGAAUUCCGGGUGUAGCGGUGGAAUGCGUAGAGAUCCGGAAGAACACCGGAGGCGAAGGCGGCUUGCUGGGCGUGAUCGUGACGCUGAGGCGCGAAAGCGUGGGGAGCGAACAGG